CCUGUUUUGUAAAGCUUCAGUUUGUAAAGUUAAAAACAAGUAAAGUGCAACAGAGGUUUAUUUUUCUCUCUCUUGCCAAACCUGAAUUUUAGAAUGGAGGAUCAUAUAUUUUAUACAUUUUUAAGCUCAAACUAUUUUCCAAACAGGACUUGGAAGCAGCAGGUGAAUAAGAGCCACCUCUGGGCUGUGUGGAUGUCCUGAGAAACUUUUUCACCCUGACGUUUUUCAUCUUGUGACAGCUGUGGACUCAGAUGGGAUGCAUGGACUUAAAGGAGCAAAAAGGACUUUGAAGAGUGUCGCCAUGGCAACAGUACAGCGCACAGGUUGCCAAAGGUAAAGGAUUUUAUCCCACAGGUGUGUCUUCAGCUGUUCACACCGCCGGAGCCUCAGCCAGAAAACCAGAACCCACCAAACAUUCGAGCCCGCCGCUCGCCUGCGCUCCUUCAUGUGAUCGGAGCUUUAUUAGUCGGGCAUCUUAUGGGAGCUCUUGUGAUGGAUGUUGGGCCUUUACAGCAGUGCACCGGAGGUGCGCGCGGCAGGCGUCACCUGGGGGAGUCGCCUUCCUAUCACAUUGUUUGCAUUCAUUGGAUUUCUGCUCCAGCAAUCACUCAAACCGCUAAUGAGGCCCCCGCAGGACCGGGGAGUGUUUGGAUCACAGUUACACCAUUGUUUGAUCUGUUUAAUGCACGGCUCCUCGCCGUAACCRGAACCCUGGAAACCAAGGUGCCAUUGUUGGGCUCGUCA